rnacentral:tRNA from 1 species
GGCAAUUAGCUCAGUUGGUCAGAGCAUGGUGGUGGUAACACCAAAGUGUUGGGUUCAAUCCCUAUAAAGGGCCA